rnacentral:rRNA from 1 species
CAGCCGCCGCGGUAACACGAAGGGUGCAAGCGUUACUCGGAAUUACUGGGCGUAAAGCGUGCGUAGGUGGUGGUUUAAGUCCGUUGUGAAAGCCCUGGGCUCAACCUGGGAAUUGCAUUGGAUACUGGCAAGCUAGAGUGUGUCAGAGGAUGGUGGAAUUCCCGGUGUAGCGGUGAAAUGCGUAGAGAUCGGGAGGAACAUCAGUGGCGAAGGCGGCCAUCUGGGACAACACUGACGCUGAGGCACGAAAGCGUGGGGAGCAAACAGGAUUAGAUACCCCCGUAGUCCCUGUCUCUUAUCC